AGUGAACGCUGGCGGUAGGCCUAACACAUGCAAGUCGAACGGCAGCACAGUAAGAGCUUGCUCUUACGGGUGGCGAGUGGCGGACGGGUGAGGAAUACAUCGGAAUCUACUUUUUCGUGGGGGAUAACGUAGGGAAACUUACGCUAAUACCGCAUACGACCUACGGGUGAAAGCAGGGGAUCUUCGGACCUUGCGCGAUUGAAUGAGCCGAUGUCGGAUUAGCUAGUUGGCGGGGUAAAGGCCCACCAAGGCGACGAUCCGUAGCUGAUCUGAGAGGAUGAUCAGCCACACUGGAACUGAGACACGGUCCAGGCUCCUACGGGAGGCAGCAGUGGGGAAUAUUGGACAAUGGGCGCAAGCCUGAUCCAGCCAUACCGCGUGGGUGAAGAAGGCCUUCGGGUUGUAAAGCCCUUUUGUUGGGAAAGAAAAGCAGCAGGUUAAUACCCCGCUGUUCUGACGGUACCCAAAGAAUAAGCACCGGCUAACUUCGUG
rnacentral:rRNA from 1 species